AUUUAAAUAGUUUAAGAAAAAUUUUAGUUUGUGAUUCUAUAGAUGGGGGAGCCCUUUAAGUA
rnacentral:tRNA from 1 species